CCCGAUCCCGAAGCCCCGGUCCCCAGGACCGGGGCUUCGGCGUUCACCGGCCUUCGCCGCCUCCCCGCCCCCUCUGUCGACGUUUUCGCAGGUC
rnacentral:tRNA from 1 species